GUGGGUAGUUUGACUGGGGCGGUCUCCUCCUAAAGAGUAACGGAGGAGCACGAAGGUUGGCUAAUCCUGGUCGGACAUCAGGAGGUUAGUGCAAUGGCAUAAGCCAGCUUGACUGCGAGCGUGACGGCGCGAGCAGGUGCGAAAGCAGGUCAUAGUGAUCCGGUGGUUCUGAAUGGAAGGGCCAUCGCUCAACGGAUAAAAGGUACUCCGGGGAUAACAGGCUGAUACCGCCCAAGAGUUCAUAUCGACGGCGGUGUUUGGCACCUCGAUGUCGGCUCAUCACAUCCUGGGGCUGAAGUAGGUCCCAAGGGUAUGGCUGUUCGCCAUUUAAAGUGGUACGCGAGCUGGGUUUAGAACGUCGUGAGACAGUUCGGUCCCUAUCUGCCGUGGGCGCUGGAGAACUGAGGGGGGCUGCUCCUAGUACGAGAGGACCGGAGUGGACGCAUCACUGGUGUUCGGGUUGUCAUGCCAAUGGCACUGCCCGGUAGCUAAAUGCGGAAGAGAUAAGUGCUGAAAGCAUCUAAGCACGAAACUUGCCCCGAGAUGAGUUCUCCCUGAGACUUUAGGUCUCCUGAAGGAACGUUGAAGACGACGACGUUGAUAGGCCGGGUGUGUAAGCGCAGCGAUGCGUUGAGCUAACCGGUACUAAUGAACCGUGAGGCUUAACCUUACAACGCCAAAG
rnacentral:rRNA from 1 species